AGAGUUUGAUUAUGGCUCAGAACGAACGCUGGCGGCGCGUUUAAGCAUGCAAGUCGAGCGGCAAGGGCCUUCGGGCCCCUAGAGCGGCGGACGGGUGAGUAACACGUGGACAAUCUGCCCCCCGGCCCGGGAUAGCCCAGGGAAACCUGGAUUAAUACCGGAUGAGACGGGACCCGCGAUGGCGGGACCCGGGAAAGGCGCUGCGGCGCCGCCGGGGGAUGAGUCUGCGUCCCAUUAGCUAGACGGCGGGGUAACGGCCCACCGUGGCGACGAUGGGUAGCCGGCCUGAGAGGGUGGACGGCCACAUUGGAACUGAGACACGGUCCAGACUCCUACGGGAGGCAGCAGCUAAGAAUCUUCCGCAAUGGGCGAAAGCCUGACGGAGCCGACGCCGCGUGAACGAAGAAGGCCGUGAGGUUGUAAGGUUCUUUUCGGGAGGGGGAACAACCGUGGCAGGGAAUGGCCGCGGGAUGACGUGAAUCCCGGAAUAAGCCCCGGCUAACUACGUGCCAGCCGCCGC
rnacentral:rRNA from 1 species